rnacentral:rRNA from 1 species
UGGGGAAUAUUGGACAAUGGGCGCAAGCCUGAUCCAGCCAUGCCGCGUGAGUGAUGAAGGCCCUAGGGUUGUAAAGCUCUUUCACCGGUGAAGAUAAUGACGGUAACCGGAGAAGAAGCCCCGGCUAACUUCGUGCCAGCAGCCGCGGUAAUACGAAGGGGGCUAGCGUUGUUCGGAUUUACUGGGCGUAAAGCGCACGUAGGCGGACUAUUAAGUCAGGGUUGAAAUCCCGGGGCUCAACCCCGGAACUGCCUUUGAUACUGGUAGUCUUGAGUUCGAGAGAGGUGAGUGGAAUUCCGAGUGUAGAGGUGAAAUUCGUAGAUAUUCGGAGGAACACCAGUGGCGAAGGCGGCUCACUGGCUCGAUACUGACGCUGAGGUGCGAAAGCGUGGGGAGCAAACAGG